CAAGGCUCGACAUCCUACGAAUUUUGAGGAAACUCAGGAGUGCCCUUCGGGGAGCGUAGAGACAGGUGGUGCAUGGUUGUCGUCAGCUCGUGUCGUGAGAUGUUGGGUUAAGUCCCGCAACGAGCGCAACCCCUGUGUUUAGUUGCUAACGAGUCAUGUCGAGCACUCUAGACAGACUGCCGGUGAUAAACCGGAGGAAGGUGGGGAUGACGUCAAAUCAUCAUGCCCCUUAUGUCUUGGGCUACACACGUGCUACAAUGGCCAGUACAGACGGAAGCGAAGCCGCGAGGUGGAGCAAAUCCGAGAAAGCUGGUCUCAGUUCGGAUUGCAGGCUGCAACUCGCCUGCAUGAAGUCGGAAUCGCUAGUAAUCGCAGGUCAGCAUACUGCGGUGAAUACGUUCC
rnacentral:rRNA from 1 species